rnacentral:rRNA from 1 species
UACGAAGGGGGCUAGCGUUGUUCGGAAUUACUGGGCGUAAAGGGCGCGUAGGCGGUGUGUCAAGUCAGGCGUGAAAGCCCCGGGCUCAACCUGGGAACCGCGCUUGAGACUGGCACGCUCGAGUUCGGGAGAGGAUGGUGGAAUUCCCAGUGUAGAGGUGAAAUUCGUAGAUAUUAGGAAGAACACCAGUGGCGAAGGCGGCUCACUGGCCCGGUACUGACGCUGAGGCGCGAAAGCGUGGGGAGCGAACAGG